CACGUCAGAGCGCUUUGCUGACGUGGAAACAAAUCGCCCCCUCGUGGACGCGAUUUGUUGCCACGUCAGCAAAGCACGCUGACGUGG
rfam:Gossypium hirsutum cultivar TM-1 chromosome 22, whole genome shotgun sequence